GCCGGGCUAGCUCAAUCGGUAGAGCGUGCGGCUCUUAGAUCACGUUCAUGUGACCGCAAGGCUGCGGGUUCGACCCCCGCGUUCGGCU
rfam:Ajellomyces capsulatus NAm1 scaffold_3 genomic scaffold, whole genome shotgun sequence.